UCCAGUUUAGAAGGGAAACUUCUAUCCUGGAUUGGCCAGUGUUACAUCAGGGAUACACUGACUCUUUCCUUUGGAUCCCAGAGCUGUCAAUCUCUGUAGGAGUGGGAAAGCCUUCCCUCUUUUCGUAUCACUAUAAAAUAGGGGACGAGAACCCCUCCGUUUUAUCAUCAGUACAGUCUUGUGUUGCCAGCAACUAGGCACCUUGUCACCAGCUGCUACUUGUGUCCAGAAGGGGAGAAGCUGUAGGGAUUAAUGCUCCCUUAGCCAAGGAUUGGUCUACUGCUAGUCUAAGUUCAAGAUUUGGCCUGCUGAGCAGACAUUGAUUUUGCAUGGUAGAAUAACUCAUCAGAUUUUUGGCAGAGGCCCAGAGACGAAGUGGCUGAUUAGACUGUGGACGCACCUGAGUGCACAACCGAAGACAGCCCCCUGGAUACCUUACUCAUGUUUUCACAGGAUCCCCACUGGGACAAACUUCUAAUCAUCAAGGACUGCUAGACAGAACACAACAGUGGCAUCUGAAAUUAGCCUGCAAUACAGGGUAACAAAUGUGACACACAACUAAGCCUGUGUAUGCAGCACUGCUUGACUGCAAAGGGGUCUUGUGCUGGAGAAGAGAAACGUGAGCUGUCUUCAUAGAUUGGAGUACUUUCUUGCACCACUUCCAGGUUCCUUGUCACUCAUAAUAUCCGAUGAAAUGCUUCAUGAACCAAUCAUGCAGCUGUCCUGAAAAUCUUCCAGAGGAGCUGUCAAACACCCUAUUAACACACUUACUGACACUGGCCACAGAUGACUGUCUUUCUAACAUGCCAGACUCAAAGUAUAAAUAGUUUUGUUGGAGGAUUUACUCAGCACACUUGAAUAUUAAAGCACUAAAUAAAUAAUGCCACAUUUUACUUUAAAAUAUUAAAAUGUAACUACAUCGA